AAAGGGUCCGCAGGCGGAUUUAUAAGUCAGUGGUGAAAUCCUAUCGCUUAACGAUAGAACUGCCAUUGAUACUGUACGUCUUGAAUUCGGUCGAAGUGGGCGGAAUGUGUAGUGUAGCGGUGAAAUGCAUAGAUAUUACACAGAACACCGAUAGCGAAGGCAGCUCACUAGGCCUGGAUUGACGCUCAGGGACGAAAGCGUGGGGAUCAAACAGGAUUAGAUACCCUGGU
rnacentral:rRNA from 1 species